rnacentral:misc_RNA from 1 species
CUGGGGGCAGAUGGACUGCAUUAGCAGAAGGUAUAAACUUUGCCUGUUGCAGUGCAAUUCAAUUUCGACAUAUUUGUUGAACCCCGAAAAGGUGAAAGGCUUUCAUGUUAGCCAAAGCCCAAAACAUUAUGCUACCCAUUAUUAGUGCAAAAAGCAACACAUGCUAUAAAUGAAGGAACACAUGUUAUAUAUGAAGGAACUCAAAUCAGGUAAGACAAAGAAGGAAAAAUGCACAAAAAACUUUAUAUGAUCUUAACCGAAUGCUCUGGAAAAGUACAGGUCCAAACCUUGAUUGAUGCAUUUGCUGCAAUACUACAAAUUCCACCAAAUAUAUAGUUCCGCUUUACUCCUGCCACCAAAG